UACGUAGGGUGCAAGCGUUGUCCGGAAUUAUUGGGCGUAAAGGGCUCGUAGGCGGUUUGUCGCGUCGGGGAGUGAAAACCAGGUGCUUAACACCUGGCUUGCUUUCGAUACGGGCAGACUAGAGGUAUGCAGGGGAGAACGGAAUUCCUGGUGUAGCGGUGAAAUGCGCAGAUAUCAGGAGGAACACCGGUGGCGAAGGCGGUUCUCUGGGCAUGACCUGACGCUGAGGAGCGAAAGUGUGGGGAGCGAACAGG
rnacentral:rRNA from 1 species